ACGACCGUAGCUUAGUGGUAAAGCACAAUUGAACAUGCUCAUGUCUAUGUACGCCUGUUCGACUCAGGCCGGUUGUG